rnacentral:rRNA from 1 species
UACGAAGGGGGCUAGCGUUGCUCGGAAUCACUGGGCGUAAAGGGUGCGUAGGCGGGGCUUUAAGUCAGGGGUGAAAUCCUGGAGCUCAACUCCAGAACUGCCUUUGAUACUGCCGUGCUUGAGGACUGGAGAGGAGACUGGAAUUUACGGUGUAGCGGUGAAAUGCGUAGAUAUCGUAAGGAAGACCAGUGGCGAAGGCGGGUCUCUGGACAGUUCCUGACGCUGAGGCACGAAGGCCAGGGGAGCAAACGGG